rnacentral:rRNA from 1 species
UUUUGGAAUAAUAAUAUUUAUGAAAUUUAACGGAUUUGGCGGCAAGAUAGCCCCUUAGAGGAACCUGCCCUGUAAACGAUGAACCACGAGGACCCUACUUUCUUUGGUAAUCAGUUUGUAUAUCGCUGUUGUCAGUUAGAUUCUUGAGAAUAUUUUCGUUUAUGAAAAUUUCAUUGACUUCAAGUAAAGGUGCAGCUUAUAGGAAAGAUAGAGGUGGGUUACAUUUAUGAGAUUAAAACGGAUAAGAUAAAUGAAAUAUUCUUUGAAGGUGGAUUUAACUGUAAAACU